rnacentral:misc_RNA from 1 species
GAAAUGCGAUACGUAAUGCGAAUUGCAGAAUUCAGUGAAUCAUCAAAUCUUUGAACGCAAAUUGCGCUUCCUGGAUAGGCCAGGGAGCAUGCCUCUUUGAGCCUCGUUUCAUCCUCAUCUCGGCAGCUUGCUGCUGGAAAAUGAGCGUGUGGGUGGAAAGACCUGCUCGCUUGAAGUAGAGUGAAUGCUCUCUUUUCCUUGUGUUUUAAACGACGCCGUUUACGGUCGCUUUUUCAUUAGGAACGUGGAUAAUCUUUUCUUACGUUUCUGAUGUUGAAGUAACAGUAAAUGCGGAAAGAAAGCUAUUCGUAUGAAAUUAAAUUCUUUUUGAAUUAGAGCUCAAAUGAAGCAAGACUACCCGCUGAACUUAA